ACAGCUCUUCGUUACUUCUUAAAACAAUUUUUCCUUGACCAAAACCUUGUAUUAAUACCACUAGAGUUUAGUUUUAACGUUAAUCGCGACUAAUUAAUAGUCUAGCUAUUAUUACUAUUAUAUAAGCGUUAAAUAACACUCAAUAUAACUCAUAAUAAUAGCCCAAAUAAUUAUUUUAAGGUCCUAAUAAUGUUACUAUAAUUAAAUAAAAGCUAUAUUAAAUAUAGUAUAGGCGUAACUCACUUACAACGGGUUUUUAUUAAAAACCGGGCUUCGUUGGAGCAGCGUUUCCGAGCUGAAAGCUUUUCUUCUCGGAGCCGUCGGGCGCUCCGGGGCUUUCUUCUCGUGAUAGGGAGGUUCCCUAGACUUGGGAGGGGUUUAGGGAGGCUAGAGAGAAGUUAGAGAGAGAAAGA
rnacentral:lncRNA from 1 species